rnacentral:rRNA from 1 species
CCUACGGGGGGCAGCAGUAGGGAAUCUUCCACAAUGGACGAAAGUCUGAUGGAGCAACGCCGCGUGAGUGCAGAAGGGUUUCGGCUCGUAAAGCUCUGUUGGUAGUGAAGAAAGAUAGAGGUAGUAACUGGUAUUUAUUUGACGGUAGUUACUUAGAAAGUAAAGGCUAACUACGUGCCAGCAGCCGCGGAAAUACGUAGGUGGAAAGCGUUGACCGGAUUUAUUGGGCGUAAAGCGAGUGCAGGCGGUUCAAUAAGUCUGAUGUGAAAGCCUUCGGCUCAACCGGAGAAUUUCAUCAGAAACUGUUGAACUUGAGUGCAGAAGAGGAGAGUGGAACUCCAUGUGUAGCGGUGGAAUGCGUAGAUAUAUCGAAGAACACCAGUGGCGAAGGCGGCUCUCUGGUCCGCAACUAACGCUGAGGCUCGAAAGCAUGGGUAGCGAACAGGAUUAGAUACCCUUGUAGUC